rnacentral:rRNA from 23 species
GGUGAAUACGUUCCCGGGCCUUGUACACACCGACCCGUCACACCAUGGGAGUGGGUUGCAAAAGAAGUAGGUAGCUUAACCUUCGGGAGGGCGCUUACCACUUUGUGAUUCAUGACUGGGGUGAAGUCGUAACAAGGUAACCGUAGGGGAACCUGCGGUUGGAUCACCUCCUUACCUUAAAGAAGC